rnacentral:rRNA from 1 species
ACGGGUGAGUAAUGUCUGGGAAACUGCCUGAUGGAGGGGGAUAACUACUGGAAACGGUAGCUAAUACCGCAUAACCUCGCAAGAGCAAAGAGGGGGACCUUCGGGCCUCUCGCCAUCAGAUGUGCCCAGAUGGGAUUAGCUAGUAGGUGAGGUAAUGGCUCACCUAGGCGACGAUCCCUAGCUGGUCUGAGAGGAUGACCAGCCACACUGGAACUGAGACACGGUCCAGACUCCUACGGGAGGCAGCAGUGGGGAAUAUUGCACAAUGGGCGCAAGCCUGAUGCAGCCAUGCCGCGUGUGUGAGGAAGGCCUUCGGGUUGUAAAGCACUUUCAGCGAGGAGGAAGGCAGUCGUGUUAAUAGCACGGCUGAUUGACGUUACUCGCAGAAGAAGCACCGGCUAACUCCGUGCCAGCAGCCGCGGUAAUACGGAGGGUGCAAGCGUUAAUCGGAAUGACUGGGCGUAAAGCGCACGCAGGCGGUCUGUUAAGUUGGAUGUGAAAUCCCCGGGCUUAACCUGGGAACUGCAUUCAAAACUGACAGGCUAGAGUCUUGUAGAGGGGGGUAGAAUUCCAGGUGU